rnacentral:rRNA from 1 species
AUUGAACGCUGGCGGCAUGCCUUACACAUAGCAAGUCGAACGGCAGCACGGGGGCAACCCUGGUGGCGAGUGGCGGACGGGUGAGUAAUGCAUCGGAACGUGCCCUGAAGUGGGGGAUAACGCAGCGAAAGCUACGCUAAUACCGCAUAUUCUGUGAGCAGGAAAGCAGGGGAUCGCAAGACCUUGCGCUUUGGGAGCGGCCGAUGUCGGAUUAGCUAGUUGGUGGGGUAAAGGCCUACCAAGGCGACGAUCCGUAGCGGGUCUGAGAGGAUGAUCCGCCACACUGGGACUGAGACACGGCCCAGACUCCUACGGGAGGCAGCAGUGGGGAAUUUUGGACAAUGGGCGAAGCCUGAUCCAGCCAUGCCGCGUGAGUGAAGAAGGCCUUCGGUUGUAAAGCUCUUCGUGGGAGAAUUGCAUAGGCGUAAUACCCUGUGUAGAUGUACAGUACCUGGAGAAGAAGACACCGGCUAACUACGUG